UUACAAAGCACGCAGUGCAGUCCGAUGAGGCGAAGCGUUGUGCUGGUUCAUUUGUGCCGUCAUGUCACAGAAGAGAAUAUCAACAUCUUUUUUUUCACCUGCGCCGAAGCAUGCAUGUCAAGACACUAAAGCCGGCAAAGGAACCCUUCUUUAGUGCAAGUGUACUCUUGUGCGUCAGCACGGAGCAUCACCGCCCAGAGCAGCGGCUGCCUGCCACAACCUCAUCAUUGCCUCAAGUUCCUGGCGCUUCAGCGGCUGCGCAGGACGGGCCUCCAUCACGUGAGCCCUUCAGCAUCCAGGAGGCGCUGCAUAGGCCGCACCCUGGGCAGCCAGGCUACAUAACCACCAAGGAAUCGACGCCUCUUCGCAGUCGGUGGCGGGCAUUUGGCACGAUUUAAGCGUCACUUUUGCUGCAGCUGGGUGGACCAUUCGCGGACCGUUACCCCUUUUCCGGCGUGGCAGACAUUGCUUCGUUCAACUGAUGCGUUCGAAACGAG